CCUCCCGUGCUGUCUCAGCUACGCCGAGUCGUUGGCUCAGGGCGGAGGAUUUUCCUAUUGGCCGCGUUAUUUGAAUGGAAUGGAGGAUAGGUCGUGAAGUAGGUGCUGCUGGUUGAUCUUUCUAAGGAACUCAGAUGAACUUGGGCAUGUCAGAAUUAAUAACCUUUUAAAAGUGGGGUCUGUGUGGCCGAGGGUUUUAAUGGUAAGUUCUUGAGGUGACCACCUAUUGACAAGGGUUGACCUGCUGUAAUUGCUGUGGCUUCCUGCCAACCCCCACUUUAGAAAUGUUUUUCUUCCUCUCUUUACUUGUUUUGUUUUGCUUUCUCUCACGCUUGGGUUCUCUUCUUUCUUCCUUCAGUGCUUUAAGCCUGUCUCGUACUACCCAUGAGCUUAGCUCAGCCUGAUUACUGGUCCUUACCUUUUAAGGGAUUUCUGGUUACAGCUCCAUCUCUUUCUAAGGAGGGGUAAAGACCUAGCUGCGUCUAGCAUUUAAACGGAACGUUAAGGAAGGCAAUUAAUUCAACCACUAUUUAUUGAAUACCUACUAUGAGCCAGUAACUGUACUAGGCACUGAAGAUACAAUGAAAAAUAUGACAUUUAUUUGAACCACCUCUUGAGUUCAGUCGCCCAAACAAGACUAAUUUAUCAUCGUCAUAAAAAAAAGACUUUAACUUUGCCUUGUAUGACCACACGCGCACACACAUAGGAUUUGUAAUACUGAUGUCUUAUGAGCCAUCUAUCUACAAUCUCCACCAAUUGAUUUUACUGAACACUGCAUUGUUACCAUCCACUACUAUUUUUAGAGCAUUUAGAAAAGCCAAGAUAAAAACCACAAAACCUUACCAUGGAAGUUUAGGGGUCAUCUAGACAGAGUCCCUCAAGAACUAAUUAAUUUACUUAAUUUUACCCAGAAGUAGGAUUAGAAUUCACUCAGCAAAUACUAUGCACCUGUUCUGGGUCAGGCAUUGUUCUAGGUGCUGGAGAUAGAGCAGUGAACAAAUAAGCUUUUCUUACUCUCAGCAUGAUGCCUUUUCCAGUGGACUACUUCACAGCCUAUCAUAUUGAGAAAUAAAAUAAUUGAGUAAAACGUGAUUAGGAAACUGUCUGCCUGUGAGACAAUUUUCUGAACCACAGUUAUUAGGAUAGCGAUAGAAUCCAGGUCAGGGUAAAAAUAUUUCCUCUGAAAACGUUGUAGGAAUAGAAAAUGAAUGUAAUAUUCAUAAGAUAUACCAUUGUAUGUUCAUUACAUACAUUAAAGAUAACAUCAGACCUUUGAAUACUCAUGGUGUUAGGUACUGAAAAACAUUGUUAGCACUAAAAUACAAAAUCCCUAUCCACAGAAUACAGCUCUCAGAAUAAAAGAAAGGAACUUGAGGAUUGCCUUGUCAGCUCCUGUCUCUACCUAGGCAACUGACAGCAUAUCCUGUUUUCCAAGAACGUUAUGGCCUAUGUGGUAGCUCUUAAAGUGCCCUUGCAGUAUAGAUGGGAAUCUGAAGAUUUCAUUCAGGCAAAAGGAAUUUAGUGGGAAGUAUGCUAUUCCUGAUUCAAGCACUUAUUUCAGGAUGCAAAAUUAAUAAUAGUUUAUUAAUAAAACAUAAUUAAGUUCAUUCAGUUCCCAGAAGCUGUCAGGGAAAAAACAACCAAGGAGGGCUGCUAUCAUGUGCAAAUUUCACUGAAUUUAGUUUUUCUUCUUUCGUGGCUCUAAGGGUCAAGAUGCUCUAUGUUAAUAUUGAAAGUACUCUGAAACUGCCACCUACUUUGUCUUUAGGGAGGAUUUUUUUUAAAUUGUUGUUAGUGAAUUAAUGGUACUGAAGACCUUGGGUUAAUUCUAGAACAAGCAAAAUUUUUUAUUGACACACACAGUCCCAGCACAGUGGCUCACACCUGUAAUCCUAUCACUUUGAGAGGCUGAGGCGAACUCUGCCCAGGAGUUCGAGGCUGCAGUGAGCUCUCUGCACUACAACCUGAGCGACAGAGCUAGACCCUAUCUUUACCAAAAAAAAAAAAAAAAGACACACACACACACACACAUGCUUUUAUUACAUAUUUGUCUAAGCAGAACAAAUGGAAAAAAUGCAAAUAUUUUCACUUCCUAAUGGCUUCUAAACAGAUUGGGAUGUGAGGAUACAUUUUAGCUCCUUUAAAGCAAAUUAAGCCUUAAAAUAGAAGUACAAAUAAAACUAUACUUACUAAUUUGCAUAUAUGUAUAUAUAAAAAUAUAUUUUUGGCUGCACCAAAUCAAUCAUAUUGGAGGUUUUUGUUUCUGAGACAGGGUCUCACUCUAUCGCUCAGGCUGCAGUGCAGAGGCAUGAUCUCAGCCUCCCAAGUAGCUGAGACUACAGGCGCGUGCACCACCAGGCUUAGCUAAUUUAUUUUUUAAGUUUUGUAAAGAUGGGGUCUACCUAUGUUGUCCAGGCUGGUCUCAAACUCCUGGGCUCAAGUGAUCCUCUGCCUUGGCUUCUUAAAGUGUUGGGAUUACAGGCUUGAGCCACUGUACCUGGCUGGGGGUUUUAUUUAUUACAUGCACAAGAUUGUCAGAAUGAGAUCUGUGUAUAUCUUUUUCAAAGUUUAAUCACACUACUGACAUUCCUUACCAUUAAUUUGCUUGCUAAUUAUGAUCAACUUAAUUUAAAUUAUAAACAUAUUUGAAAUGCUGACAUGCACAGCUUAGAUUUGUUUCUGCUAUUAUAAUCUCUUUGUUAAAAAUGUACAUAAGAUAUUAAUAAAUACUUUGAUAUAUCUAUGUUCUCUUUAUCCCUAAUUUAAACCUGAGAUACUAAUUUACAUUUAUACACUUGAGAAUAGAACAGUCAACAAGGACCUUGUUUCUGUCUCCUGUAUUCUACACCUGGGCCAAACUCUCUUCCAUUGCAUAAUAAUUUCUUUCCAAUGUUUUAUUUAAGAACCUGAAGAAAAGGCUGGGCACGGUGGCUCAUGCCUGUAAUCCCAGGGCUUUGGGAGGCCCACGUGGGCAGAUCACCUGAGGUUAGUAGUUCGAGACCAGCCUGGCCAACAUGGCAAAACCCCCGUCUCUACUAAAAAUACAAAAAUUAGCUGGGCGUGGUGGCACGUGCCUGUAAUCUCAGCUACUCGGGAGGCUGAACCCGAGAAUACAUGAGAAUUACUUGAACCAGAAGGCGGAGGUUGCAGUGAGCCAAGAUUGUG
rnacentral:lncRNA from 1 species